rnacentral:rRNA from 1 species
AUGCACGCUGGCGGCGUGCCUAAUCCAUGCAAGUCGAGCGAACAGAUGAGGAGCUUGCUCCUCUGACGUUAGCGGCGGACGGGUGAGUAACACGUGGAUAACCUACCUAUAAGACUGGGAUAACUUCGGGAAACCGGAGCUAAUACCGGAUAAUAUAUUGAACCGCAUGGUUCAAUAGUGAAAGACGGUUUUGCUGUCACUUAUAGAUGGAUCCGCGCCGCAUUAGCUAGUUGGUAAGGUAACGGCUUACCAAGGCGACGAUGCGUAGCCGACCUGAGAGGGUGAUCGGCCACACUGGAACUGAGACACGGUCCAGACUCCUACGGGAGGCAGCAGUAGGGAAUCUUCCGCAAUGGGCGAAAGCCUGACGGAGCAACGCCGCGUGAGUGAUGAAGGUCUUCGGAUCGUAAAACUCUGUUAUUAGGGAAGAACAAAUGUGUAAGUAACUAUGCACGUCUUGACGGUACCUAAUCAGAAAGCCACGGCUAACUACGUG